GGUAGGGAGGUAAAUUCUUCUAAGCUAAAUAUCACCACGAGACCGAUAGCGAACAAGUACCGUGAGGGAAAGUUGAAAAGCACUCUGAAUAGAGAGUCAAAAAGUACGUGAAACUGCCUAGGGCUCAAGCCCGUUGAACUCGAUUAUCCGAUGCGGAGACAUUCACCUGCGGUGUGCUGCGAACCAGUGCGCCGCAGGGCACUUGUCUACUCGCGCUAGCCAAGAGGACACUGCGAUCCAUUACGAAACAGCUUUCGCGUCGCGAGACGCAAGGUCGCCCGACAGUUGCCCCCUGGUGCUGGUAGCUUGCCCCACAGUAGCGACGCUCAGUUCUGAAGGCCUGUGCCGCGAGGUGGGGCUUACUGCACGUGGUGUUUGCAGUCGGGCGCGUGAUGGAUUCCCCGGACACCGGGUGGUCUUCCCGCAAGGGGCCACCGGACUGUCGAUCGGCAGUGAAAGCAUCGAGUACCUUCGGGACCCGUCUUGAACACGGACCAAG
rnacentral:rRNA from 1 species